rnacentral:lncRNA from 1 species
GUGCUCCCCGAUUUUCGGAUAUCAAACCAUUGAUUGAUUUGAAUCGUCAAUCUUUGAACUCUCAAUUCUUUAUUCGUGGGAAGGGAAAAAAUGAGUAAAAACCCUUAUCGAGACUUUGGAUUCGGGGGUUGGUUUCAAAUAGGGAAGGUGUUAAGCACCCUAAACGACUUCGGUACUCCGAAGGAACCGCUUACCUAGAUUAUCUUGUGCUAAAUUCAUUUGGCUUACUUGAAAAAUUAUUACCUAAAAUCUAAGUGAAAGAAUGGAGGGAGAAGAAGUAUGUUUUUGGUUAUUUUUAUUUGAU